GAAAGGGACAGACACAGGCACGCCAGCCAGGUCCCUAAGUACAGUGAGAGCGGCCGCAAAGCAAGAACUCGGGGCCUCUUUCCACUUACCCAACUUUUCCCUUCACCCCGCCCAGGGCCCUACUUACUCCGGCUCCCGGCGUUUUUCCCCAGCCGAGGAACCGGCCCCUUUCCAGCGACCCCCAUCCCGGCCGGCGGGCAGGACUGCGGCGACCGUACCCGGACUCGCACCGCCCGGGCCAGGCAGCCUGGGGCGGAGGGGGGCAGUGUGUGGGUUCUCCCGCAGGCGAUCCCACGGCCGACACCGAGAGCUUGAUUUGGGGUUUUCUCUGAGCGGAAGCCAUUAUUCCCUCUUGUCUCCUCCACCCCAUAAAAUUCCCUGCAAACACAAAAAACUCGAAAUAGAAGAGAGCGUCCCUAAAAGUAAGUUCUGGAGGAUGGCUUUCAUGCGAUGAAGGAAAAUCAUCAGUAUUCAACCUUAACGUGGGGUGUGUGUGUGUGUGUGUGUGUGUGUGUUAGAGUGGGGGCGAGAGAUGUCGUGUUUUAAUACACAAUCAUUGUAGAAAGAUUAGUAAAAUUUAUUUGAAAGUAGUGGAAACGUGGGUCCUCCCGAUCUUGGGUUUGGAGCUUCUCUGGAAUCUCCGUCUUCUGAAAUCUGAUGUUUGUUAGAAAUCAGGGUUGAGUUUCUAGAUACGGGUCAGGAAGAAAAUCCCUAAAUUAAACACACACACACACACACACACACACACACACACCGCCUCCCUCCUAAUGUUUCUCCCGAGCCCAUUUAGUUCCCGUUUAUGAGAGCGGCCCAGUAAGGAAGCAUCGAUUUUUUUCUUCCACUCUGACCACUUCCCUCUAGGGCCGGCCAAGCUCCCAGCCUCUACUCCUGCACACGGUGCUCUCCAAACCUUUUAAUUAUUUAGUUUCUGUCUAACAUUCAGCGGAAACCGCUUCAUAAACAAGGACAGACCGACGCGCACACAUUUUUGCUAAAAAGUCCCCGAGAUUUAACAUGAAGGAUGCAAGCAGAGAGAAAAACUGAAAAGCGCUUCUCCUCCGCGCGUCGGCCCCGGACCAGGAGACGCUAGACCCGGACCCCAGUUCAAAGUCACGCGGGGAAUCCCAAACGUGGCUUUUUGGUCCGGAGACCUGGAAGCCGGGGGGGGGGGGGGGGGGGGGGGGGGGGGGGGGGGGGGGAGAGGGACGGCGAGAGGGGGGGAAGCCAUCCUCGGGUGAAAACAGCUGCUGACGCCAGGACUUGAAAAUGUUAACUUGUGAGCUUCCAACAAUUUUAAAAGACAAAGAGAAAAUAUUUGAGAAAAUGAGGCCUUCCGGUGUAUCGGCGCCUCUCUGAUAACGCACAAAAGUUGGGGGGCGGGCAUUUAUUCGUUUUAAUUAAAAGCACCGAGUCGGGCUGCACCGAGAUGGAGAGUCCCUCCCCCCCCCCCCACCUCCUCCCCACACCUUGGAAAAAUAAAAGAUCUUGAAGGCCCUUCUUGGUCUGGGUG
rnacentral:lncRNA from 1 species